UACUCAACCUUUCUUUUAUUAUUGGUCUCCUAAGAGAAAAAAAUGAAUUUAAAUUCAAUAUAAAUUAAUGAAUUUAAUUCAUUCCAUCUAAUGAAUGAUUUAAAAUAAUUUUCACUUAAUUUCUCCUUAAUGAGAGAAAUUAAAUACUGACAAAUAAAAGCUUAUCAGAUAGCACUUCAGAGGCUCCCAAACCAUUGUACUAUCUAAGAUUUCAACCCUUUACCCAAACUAAUUUUCAUCCCUUUUUGGGCGAUAUUGCCUCCACAGAGAAUGCAUAUUUAAGGUGAAAUGAGGAGUGCUCAACUACUAAUGAAAGGAGAGGUACCUUAGUUUGAGCCACUCAUUAACAGGAGGAUCAUGCUUUUCAGUUAAUUCAUUGUGGUCUGAAGAAUUCUGAGAUGGUCCCCAAGAUUCUCAUGUCUUGUAAACCCACCUUCGGCCAUUUAUUUAAUCUACAGGUACGGAUGUGAAGAGAUUUGCAGAUAUAAUUUGUCUUAAGUUUCUUGACUUUAACUAAGGAGGUUACCCAGGUGGACCUGAUCUAAUCACAAGGCUUUAUAAAAAUUUCUGGGCUCUUCCUGGUGAGAGGGGUUUGAAGAUUGAGGGGCCUUGUGAAACGAGCCAAGUAACAAGGGCCUGAGCGUGUCCUAGGACCUAUGGGCAGUCCCCAGCCUACAGCCAGCAACAAACCCAGGACCUCAGUCUCACAACCACACUAGAAGUGAUUUUACCAACAACUUGAAGGAGUUUGGGAGCAGACCUUUCCCCAGUUAAGCAUCCAGAAGAAAUCACAGCUGGCUAAUGCUUGAUUUCAGACUUAUGAAGCUCUGUGCAGAGAACCCAGCUAACAAGUUCUGGACUCACAACCCAUGGAAACUAUAUCACCUCUUGCCAGAUAGGCUGAGAAACAAAAAGAUGAGGUGAAAAGACAGCCAUCAUCACUUUGUCAAAUAAGGUUACUAAAGAGAAAGAAUCAGAAAACGGAGAUCACACACACCUCAGGCCAUUUUAUCCACCCUUGGACUUGGGAAAUGCUUCUGUUUUGGGGGCUUUGACCUGUAUUAUGCUGCCAUGUGCUGAAUAUUGAAAAAUUUUGCUGCUUUUGAAGGUUACUCCCUGCUCUAAUACAUUCCAUCCAUUCAAAAUUAGGGGCUUCUUUUCCAUUUAGGUACAUUUUCCUUUUCUCAAUUUAAUCCCAUUAUUUUUAAUUAUACUCUUCAAAUCAUCCCUAUAAUUUCCAUCUUAUUAGGAUUUUCAAAUACCUGUAGACAGCAACUCCUUAGACAUUAUUUAGUCAAAUUCACCUAUUAUUUCUUUGAUCUUUUCUUUUAAGUGAAUUCCUACAGCCACUCAAUAUCCAUGGUUUUAGGGAUUCAUUUUCCUUUUUUUCUUUUGCAUUUUCCCUCAAAGGGAUCUGUAUCUAUUUCUUCCUAAGAGCAGAACAUAAAGUUUCUUUCUCCUGUCA